ACCGCUUCCGGGUCAGAGGGCGCGCGGCCGGCGGAAGUUCCGGCGCCGUUGCUAUGGCGACCGCGGUACAUGGUGCCCUUCCUGCUCAAUCAGUGCGGAUCGCUCCUCUUCUACCUCACCUUGGCAUCUGCAGACCUGUCCCUGGCGGUACCGCUCUGUAACUCCCUGGCUUUGAUUUUCACUCUGGUGACUGGGAGGAUUCUGGGAGAGGAUAUCGGCGGUAAAAGCCCACACUGCGCUUUGUCUCUGCAGGGGCCGUGGCAGGAAUGGCGCUCACCCUCCUGGGUGUCACUCUCUGCGUAGCUGGUUCGUGACCAAGGCGCAGCGAGCAGAGGAAGAGAACGCCUUUAAACGCGACCCCGUGGCGUGAGGGGAGCUUCUGGCUCAGCAGCCGACCGCUGGGCUCUCAUUCUGACACCCGGCUGCCUGGAAGCAGGGAUUGGAUUCCCCAAGCACCAGGGUGGAGCAAGGCAUAUCGCAAGGACAUCCUGUUUAGUGUCUUAAGGAAUCUUUUCCUGUGGGUGUUUCAAAGCAGGGGUGGGAGGAGGGGUAAUAAACGGUUAAUAAAUAAUUCAACUGGA